rnacentral:other from 1 species
GAUAUCCUGUGGUGUACGUUAUGUUCUUGUUUUUACCGACACUUCAUAAAAUGGAGCCCGCGUCAGAUCGUGGAUGUCAUGCCCCCGCCCUUCGGGGUGCCAGGGGACGGCAGCAAGCGACUGUAGGGCACCGCCCUGCCAGCGUGGCGGGUGAAAAAGACGGAGCAGACGGCACUCAUGGGAUUUGA